AAUGCUGGCGGCAGGCCUAACACAUGCAAGUCAAGCGAACAACCACAUACAGGUUGUUAGCGGCGAACGGGUGAGUAACACGUGAGAAUCUACCUUGUUCAACGGGAUAGCUUAAGGAAACUUAAGGUAAUACUGUAUGAUUCCAAGAUUUUGGUAAAGAGACUAAUCGGAACAAGAUGAGCUUGCGGUAGAUUAGCUAGUUGGUGGGGUAAAGGCCUACCAAGGCACAGAUCUAUAGCUGGUCUGAGAGGACGGACAGCCACAUUGGGACUGAGACAAGGCCCAGACUUCUACGGAAGGCAGCAGUGAGGAAUAUUGGACAAUGGACGAAAGUCUGAUCCAGCCAUGCCGCAUGAGUGACGAAGAUCUUUAAAACGGGUACAGAACAUGUACCUCUGGAUUGUAAAACUCUGUUUGUUUAGUGAUAAUAGUGAUAGUAACUAAACAAAAGCUCCGGCCAACUUCGUGCCAGCAGCCGCGGUAAUACGAGGGGAGCGAGUGUUGUUCGAUAUUAUUGGGCGUAAAGGGUGUUCAGGUUGUCCAACGAGUUGACUCUUAAAUCUUGAGAUCCAACCUCAUUCAUGGGGUCAAUACUGUUGGACUUGAGCUUAUCAAGGGACGAAUGGAAUUCCAAGUGUAGAGGUGAAAUUCGUUGAUACUUGGAGGAACACCGGAGGCGAAAGCGAUUCGUCAUACUAAGCUGACACUGAAAACACGAAAGCAUGGGGAGCAAACAGGAUUAGAUACCCUGGUAGUCCAUGCCCUAAACGAUGAGUGCUAACAGUCUAGAGCCAACUUGUUGGCCAAAUGCAAGGACCUUGUGUCCGAGCAUCCAACAAAAUCCACCGGUCUCAACAUUGUACAGCUAACGCAUUAAGCACUCCGCCUGGGUAUUACGACCGCAAGGUUAAAACUCAAAGGAAUUGACGGAGAUCCGCACAAGCGGUGGAGCAUGUGGUUUAAUUCGAAGCCACACGAAGAACCUUACCAGCCCUUGACAUACCAUGGCUAACCAUCCUGGAAACAGGAUGUUGUUCAAGUUAAACCCUUGAAAUACCAGGAACAGGUGCUGCAUGGCUGUUGUCAGUUCGUGUCGUGAGAUGUAUGGUUAAGUCCUAAAACGAACACAACCCUCACCCAUAGUUACCAAUAAACACCGACAACCUCUAUGGGUACUGCUAACGUAAGUUAGAGGAAGGUGAGGACCACAACAAGUCAUCAUGGCCCUUAUGGGCUGGGCUACACACGUGCUACAAUGGUGGUUACAAAGAGCCGCAACGUUGUGAGGCCGAGCCAAUCUCCAAAAGACCAUCUCAGUUCGGAUUGUACUCUGCAACCCGAGUACAUGAAGUAGGAAUCGCUAGUAAUCGUGGAUCAGCAUGCCACGGUGAAUACGUUCUCGGAUCUUGUACACACCGCCCGUCACACCAUGGAAGCUCUGCUUCGAUCGAAAUCAAGACAACACUUGAUCACGUCUUGGCAAACAACCGA
rnacentral:rRNA from 1 species